rnacentral:rRNA from 1 species
CCCGCACAAGCGGUGGAGCAUGUGGUUUAAUUCGACGCAACGCGCAGAACCUUACCAGCCCUUGACAUGUUUGGGACCGGUCGCAGAGACGUGACCUUCUCUUCGGAGCCCGAAACACAGGUGCUGCAUGGCUGUCGUCAGCUCGUGUCGUGAGAUGUUGGGUUAAGUCCCGCAACGAGCGCAACCCCCGUCCUUAGUUGCUACCAUUUAGUUGAGCACUCUAAGGAGACUGCCGGUGAUAAGCCGCGAGGAAGGUGGGGAUGACGUCAAGUCCUCAUGGCCCUUACGGGCUGGGCUACACACGUGCUACAAUGGCGGUGACAGUGGGAAGCUAAGGGGCAACCCUUCGCAAAUCUCAAAAAGCCGUCUCAGUUCGGAUUGGGCUCUGCAACUCGAGCCCAUGAAGUUGGAAUCGCUAGUAAUCGUGGAUCAGCACGCCACGGUGAAUACGUUCCCGGGCCUUGUACACACCGCCCGUCACACCAUGGGAGUUGGCUUUACCUGAAGGCGGUGCGCUAACCAGCAAUGGAGGCAGCCGACCACGGUAGGGUCAGCGACUGGGGUGAAGUCGUAACAAGGUAGCCGUAGGGGAACCUGCGGCUGGAUCACCUCCUUUCUAAGG